UAAAGGCUUGGUCCUGACUUUAAUAUCUGCUAUAGUUAUAUUUAUACAUGCAAGUAUCCGCCUCCCCGUGAGAAUGCCCUUACUUCCCUUACGGGAAUAAGGGGCAGGUAUCAGGCGCGCUCUCUAAGCAGCCCACUACACCUUGCUUAAGCCACCCCCUCAAGGGUACUCAGCAGUAAUUAACAUUAAGCAAUAAGUGCAAACUUGACUUAGUAAUGACUAGUAAGGCCGGUAAACUUCGUGCCAGCAACCGCGGUUAUACGAAUGGCCUAAGUUGAUAAGAUACGGCGUAAAGCGUGGUUAGGGAUAAUUAGACUAAAGCUAAAGCUCCUCCUGGUAGUUUUAAACCUAUGAGACCUGAGAGAACCAACUACGAAAGUGGCUUUAUUCCCCUGAACCCACGAAAGCUAGGGAACAAACUGGGAUUAGAUACCCCACUAUGCCUAGCCGUAAACAAUGAUACUCUUUUACAAGAGUGUCCGCCCGGGUACUACGAACAUCAGUUUCAAACCCAAAGGACCUGGCGGUGCUUAACAUCCCCCUAGAGGAGCCUGUCCUAUAAUCGAUAACCCCCGUUAAACCUCACCCCCUUUUGCAAUGUCUGCCUAUAUACCGCCGUCGUCAGCUCACCCUGUAAGGGCCCAAAAGUAAGCGAAAUUGGUUUUACCCCUAAACGUCAGGUCAAGGUGUAGUAUAUAAGGGGGGAAGAGAUGGGCUACAUUGGCUAUCUUAGUCAAUUACGGAAGAAACACAUUGAAAUUUGUGCCUUGAAGGUGGAUUUAGAAGUAAGUAAAAAAUAGAGAGUUUUACUGAAUUUGGCACUUAAGCACGCACAUACCGCCCGUCACCCUCCCUAAAGGUAUAUUACAGCAUAAUUAAUAAGCUACACUCACUUCUCAAGAGAGGGAAGUCGUAACAUGGUAAGUUUACCGGAAGGUGUACUUGGCUC
rnacentral:ncRNA from 1 species